rnacentral:misc_RNA from 1 species
GGGCAAUAGAAAUAAGCGUUGGAGGAGCCUCCCUUCCUCUUCCAUUGGAUAACGGGAUUACAUGGUCUUGCUUCUGCUAAACCCUGUUCUCCCGUUACCCAGUCCAUUCAAUCCUUCUUCUUCCUCUUGAUUCAUGGGAGAAUUUCGGGAUUGAAAGGAUUUGCUUCCUGGAUUUGUGUGAUUGGUUUCUCUGUAUCUGUUGAUGUAUCUUAUUAUUAUUGAAGAAGAGGAUCGGCUUGUGAACUUGCCCAAUUCUUUUCUGGGUAUUCUCAGGCCAUCGAAUCUACCCUUUGAGCAAAAGGCCUUUUCAUUUUGUAUCCCUAGAGAUAGAUGGGAUAAGGAGUUCCUCAAGCUGCAGGGUGGCUAAUUGUUGAUUCGUCUGAUUUCACAAAGUUAUUGUACUAUAGUUGGGAUCCAAUUGGAAUUUUUUGGAUGGAUUCUACACAAGGGUCUACAUUGUCUGCUAAUAUGGCAAAUUUAAUUGAUGGUACACCUACUCGCCGACAGUUUUCUUACAUGGAUAGUAUGCCUGUUUAUGUUAAGGAGCUUAUUGCUGGUGGAGCUGCAGGAGGAUUUGCCAAGACUGCCGUUGCACCUCUUGAAAGGACUAAAAUACUUUUGCAGACAAGAACUGAAGGGUUUCAAUCUCUCGGGGUGUUUCAGUCCUUGAAGAAAUUAUUAAAGCAUGAGGGAAUUUAUGGCUUUUAUAAGGGAAAUGGAGCUAGCGUUAUUCGUAUCGUUCCUUAUGCCGCCUUACAUUUCAUGACAUAUGAGCAGUAUCGUGGUUGGAUUUUGAAUAAUUGUCCUGCUUUAGGUUCAGGGCCUGUUAUAGAUUUAUUAGCUGGUUCAGUGGCUGGAGGAACAGCUGUUAUGUGCACAUAUCCCUUAGAUUUGGCUCGCACUAAACUUGCUUAUCAGGUUUUGGACACAAGUGGAAGUUUCAGAUGUGGAAUGAAAAAUGUAUGUGCUCAACCUGCUUAUGGUGGUGUAAAAGACAUUCUUACAAGUGUCUACAAGGAAGGGGGAACACGUGCACUGUA